CAGACAUUCUACUGGCCAGAUAUCCUUGUCCCACUCAACAUGCAAUCGUUUGGGGGAUAAUUUUAUCCUCGAGGAUCCACUCUCUGGAUUCGCUGUCUCCAGGUUGCACAAGCCUCAAUACCAGGACACUGUGUCAGAGAGGCCCAGGGCAGAAAUGGAGAGACGCAGUGCAGCUGAAACAAGGCACCUUCUGGUUACACCUGCGCAAAGCUGGCUGCUCCAGCAAUGGCUGGUGUGGAAGAUGGGUCAGAAGGUGAGAGAUACACACAGAAGAUAUCUACUAUAGUGUGUAUGCAAAAGUAGAAACUGAUAGUCAAAAUAUUUUCUAUUUCGUCAACAUAAAUUUCAUGUUAGCUACAAUCUUUAAUAUCAAUAUAUUUAAAAUUUUAAUCAAAUGUGAAGAUUAACACCAAGUUUCAAGAGUGUGUGGCUAAAACCCAUAAACCUUACAAUGUACCUACAUGCCUCAUUUCUAGAAACUUCUACCAUUUCUGUGUCCACAAGAGCUAGGAAACAGUGACUACACAAUAAAUUUUAUGAUAACCAUUUCAGGGCCACCAGAUACAAGGAGGAAGUCAAUAAAAGAGUUAUUUUGUGUCAGCUGUUGGGUGCUCAGAUUAAAAUAAAAAUUGAAAUUAACCAGGAAUUGGGGCAUCAAAAAUUGCUUUCAUGACCUCAUGUCUGAAAUUCUUAUAUUUUGUGCUUAAAAUAUCAGCUAGCUGCUAUUUGUAAU
rnacentral:lncRNA from 10 species